UACGUAGGGUGCGAGCGUUGUCCGGAAUUACUGGGCGUAAAGGCUCGUAGGCGGCCAACUAAGUCAGACGUGAAAUCCCUCGGCUUAACCGGGGAACUGCAUCUGAUACUGGAUGGCUUGAGUUCGGGAGAGGGAUGCGGAAUUCCAGGUGUAGCGGUGAAAUGCGUAGAUAUCUGGAGGAACACCGGUGGCGAAGGCGGCAUCCUGGACCGACACUGACGCUGAGGAGCGAAAGCCAGGGAGCAAACGGG
rnacentral:rRNA from 1 species